GUUGAGGCAUCCGUGAACCUUUGAUUUCUCUUCAGUCUGGUGCAGUCUGAGAGAAAAGAGAGAUUCCGACCAUGAUGCUACCAAUUUGAGGUACUUGAUGCCCCCCCACAAUGAUGGCAGAAGACUGACCGGUAGAGCCCUCGCGCUGCGUCCCGACACAUCCGAGCCCUGGUGGGCCAGGAGAGAGCGGCCCAAUCCGAGUCCAAGACGUCGCGGAGACUUCCCUUCUCACAGUACUCCAUGAUGAUGAGGAACCGGGGGCUGGUUCCUGAAACAAGGAGCCCUGAGGAGGAAACAUGGACACUGAUGAACCGAAGCCAACCCAACAUCCUGUGCAACCCCUCUGCUCUUAACCCACCUUAUCAGUUUGGCCUAUGAGCAGAAUUGCUUUCCAUCUGGCUUUUCAUACCAUGAAAGCGCCUCAAAACCCUGUCAGUUAACCUUAGCUGUUGUUCAAGUUCAAACUCACAUUUAAGUGCAGUAUUUCUAACCAUCACACAUCCAACUCGCAUCACUCAACUGCUCUGAGUCGGUCAUUGGGGUCUCUGAAAGGCAAUUUCAUCCAUACUGCAGUUUUUCAUUUCUAACCAUCUCUUUGAAUCAUUAAUUCAUAGGAUAAGAUCAAAAGAUCAAAUCCAGGCUUAAUAAUCAACUGAGCUGAUUCUAACCAUCUACCGUCAACCAUCUAAAAGGACAACAGUCUUGUCCAGUUUGGACUCACGUGUCUUCAGCUCAGCUUCGUCCUCCGCCCUGUCCUCCUCGUCCUCCUUCAUUCUGGAGACCAGCUCGAACACCCGGUGCUGCA